GUUCGACUAAACACAGGGGGCGACCAGGAAGUUCCCCUUCAAACCCUAACUCUUACAAAACUCACAAAUUGAAGGCUCAAAUCAAGUCCAAAUCGAAAUCUGAAUAUAGAUUAGUGAUCACCUCGGCGAAGGGAUCAUAAGGCAAGGAAACCGGGACGCCAAGCGGACAAGCUAGUGGCGAUAUGCAUUUGAAAGGAUUGCUCUAAAGGUAAUGCUCGUUUCGUUAUGGAUGUUGAUCAAGCAAGGAAAUCAAGAACAGAACACAAGUUUUGAAUGCUUCCGCGAUAAUCUAAUCUAGUUCAAACCAUGUUGUUUUGUAAACACUUCUAAACGUUGAAUAUUUUAAUCUAGUUAGUUGACUAUAUUCAAAUGCUA